CAGCCGCCACGGUAAUACGAAGGGUGCAAGCGUUACUCGGAAUUACUGGGCGUAAAGCGUGCGUAGGUGGUUCGUUAAGUCUGAUGUGAAAGCCCUGGGCUCAACCUGGGAAUUGCAUUGGAUACUGGCGAGCUAGAGUGUGGUAGAGGGUAGUAGAAUUCCAGGUGUAGCAGUGAAAUGCGUAGAGAUCUGGAGGAACAUCGGUGGCGAAGGCGACUACCUGGACCAGCACUGACACUGAGGCACGAAAGCGUGGGGAGCAAACAGGAUUAGAUACCCCAGUAGUCCCUGUCUCUUAUAC
rnacentral:rRNA from 1 species